rnacentral:lncRNA from 1 species
AGCUCUUCUUUUUUUGUAUUUGGUUAUUUAUAGGGUUUCUUAAAUUACAGUCUACUGAGUGAAGCUUGGAAAGAAUAAUUUCAGUGAUUUGAUUGAUGGUUCUUUCUAUCUAGGCCACUCAGUUUUAACCUCAUAUAUCAAGUUUUCUGCUGUUGAAAUCAAAGAGACCUAUUAUAUCAUUAUUGUAGACAUCUUUUGGCAACCCAUGUUGAAGGAGGAUCAGGAGGUCUAGGUGCUUUGC